rnacentral:lncRNA from 1 species
AGCUCCCUCCCAUUCUGUGUCAAGCUGCCUUCCACACAGCUCCAGAUGUCAGGCUGAACAGUCUCCCCUCAUGCUUGCUGCCAGCCUAGACCAGAAGUGAGAAGUGGACCUGCUAGGAGGCUGUGCACCCAAUGUUUGACACACACAGUUUCCAAGCUGCCUUUCCAGAUUAGAACCCAGACAUGUGAGCCACUGGACGGACACAACACCCCAGUACAGGGGAAUGCCAGGGCCAAGAAGCGGGAGUGGAAACCUGGGAAUAGUUCUACCUCAAGACCCAGCUAUACCACUCCUUGGCAUAUACCCAAAAGAUGUUGCUCCAACAUCCCACAAGGACACUUGCUCAACUAUGUUCAUAGCAGCUUUAUUCAUAAUAACCAGAAGCUGGAGAAAACCUAGAUGUCCUUCAACUGAAGAAUAGAUAAUGAAAAUGUGGUACAUCUCCACAAUGGAAUACUAUUCUGCUAUGAAAAACAAGAACAUCAUGAAUUUUGCAGACAAAUGGAUGGAACUUGAGAAUAUCACCCUGAGUACAGUGACCCAGUCCCAAAAUGACAUGUAUGAAACUCAGAGGAGCAAGAAAACUAUUCUCACCUACUGAAACCAGACUCAUCUAACUCUGCAACAUCCAAUCUCUGUACGGAGACCUUUGAGCAGGGACCAGGCAUUGACCCUCCUCCUGGGAGAAGUCCACAGUUAUACCAUUGAUUGUCAACAAAUCACAAAAUAAAAGACAACAGCUUGAAAAUUCC